rnacentral:siRNA from 1 species
ACCAAAGGAUAAACUAGGGAGGG